CUAGACGAACAUGACAGAUUGAAGCAUUCAACAUGUAGCUUUCUCACACUGUUCCGCCGCACCUCUGCUGACUGCGCAUCCACAUGCAUUCUGAAAGAAAGUCUCAUCUUCAUCCAUAGGGGUGGGUCACAUGCCAUGUGAGCCCCCGGGGGGGGAAUUCCCAUGUUCUAACAGAAGGAAAAUGAUCAUUGAUUGAAUCCCGUCAUGAAUGCAGCACCGAUUGUUUAUUUGUUCUCUUGACGACGACACAUCAAAUCAUCAGCCAGUAGAGACAACAAAAGCAUGACAGGAAGCUCCCAAGAUAUGGAUGUGCAUUCACCCUUGGCUAUCAGAACAUCCGGUUGCAUUCACCCUUGGCUAUGGUUUGUGCUCAGAUUUUAUGUUUGGAUCAAUUCCUUUCUUAUUUCUGGAUCUCAAAGAAGCCAAAGGAAGAGAAAAUAAACCCUGUUUGGGGACAUCGAAUCACGUUAGCUGUUGGAUAUGGAUGAUUGAGAUUUUGUCAUCUCCGACUUACAUGGUUUACUCAGGACUCCUCUCUCUACAAACUUGCCGACCGACUCAAUCAUUGCAUGUGGUUAUGCAGGAACACAUUUGAGAGAAAGCCAACCCAUUCGUUCCAGGCCCCUCUCUAUAAAUAAGCUCCGCUUGACUUCCUUGCAUCAUAUAACACGGCGAGGGGAACAAUGGCGUGUUCUCUCAAGCUCUUCUUGGCCGCUGCUCUUCUUCUUUGCAUCAUUACUGGAGUUCGUGCAGGCCGAGGAGCAUCAUGCAGCCCAUCUGACAUUACCAUAUCUCAGACGAGGACAGGAGGCAUAGUCGAAGGGAAGCCGGAGUACGAGGUGAUGGUGAGCAACAACUGCAAGUGUUUGCAAUCCCAGGUGCUGCUGCAGUGCUACGGCCUGAGUAGCGUCGAGCCGGUCAACCGCCUUGCCAUCAGGCCGGUGGAUGAGGAGAGGUGUAUCGUCGGUGACGGUCGGCCGAUCUCGAGAAGGACGCCGGUCAAGUUCAAGUAUGCAUGGAUGACACCCCAAGACUUCCCUGUGAUCAGCACUCGAAUCCAGAACUGCCACUGAAGAAAGACUAUGCUCCUUCUGUUCAUGAUCUUUUUCUUUUUACUGUAGCAAAGGGAUGAAAACCUGUCCUUUUGAAUUGGUAAUGCAUAGCUGUAAAAUGCAGCAAGAGGAGGCUCGCGACAAGUCCAAAAAUGUGAACGUUACUUGUUCGAUCAAAAGCAUUGUGUAUCAGUAACAGAGUCUAUAACUCAUGGAUAUAUGACGUUUAUGAUUUUGAUAACACGAAGACAUUAUGAUGGCA